GGUGUUGCAACUUGGAGCAAGUUCACUGAAAGGUACCGAGCAGAGUUUUGCAACAUGUAUUCCCUGGAAACGUGCAGAGAGUGCAACGAGACCUAUAAAAACUGCAUUCCAGGCUACGCAGGAAAGGGGAAAAGAGGGGAGCUGCGGGGAAUUUACUCAGAUGAUUCUCAACCGGGCUUUUGCUCAAAGUUUUGCCAAAUGUGUGCAGGCAUUCCUGAGUAAAGACUCUUUGAUCGUCUGGUGAGGCAGCAUCAGACACAAGGAUGCAAGGCAGCUGGGUGAACUACUUGGUGGUAGAGGGAUGUACACUGAAGAUGUGAGAGGCCAUUCAGAACAACCACCAGGAUCAUCCACUUGAUAACAUCUUGAUGGAUCAAAAAAAAAAACAGCAGUGGUGGACGUCUCCCCUUUCUUCACUGCAGGAUGAAAAGAUAAUAAUUGUACAUUUUUUGCAGGGAAAUGGCUUGGUCUGCAUGGAGGCUGCACCCAUAUUAUAAUUUUUUGCCCGACCUACUGCUAACUAUUGCUUCCAUAAUUUGAUCAGAAGAGUCUGUUCAUUGUUGCUAAAUAAUAGAACAACUUUUCCUUUGGUAAUGAUUUGCAUUAUUUGCUAUCACUGACACUUGUUCACUCAUUAUGAUAUUCCAUUAAAUGGGUUGCAUUUUUUUUUUUUUUAAUCAUUUAUUCCACCUUAUUUAACCAGCCAAAGUCAACUGAGAACCACUGUCCUUGAUUACCUGGACAAGUCCCAAAAUACACUCCACACAAACACACACAGUACACAUACAGUACUGAAGGCUAGUAUGAUACAUCAAGACAUAGGACAUGACAUAGCACAGUAUAGGUGAGAAAAUAGGUCAGAUAUAAUAAUUAAAAUUAAAUAGUACAAAAGAUGGUGGUGUACUGGAUGUCCUCUAUAGAAAUGUAAUUGUAGAGAGAGGGCUGGUCUGGAGGUAGGCCUACAGCAGGCUGGCAAAGCUAAGUUCUGUUAGUAACAAUUUGAGUAAAUAAAAUAGUCAAUAUAAAUACAACUAAUAUAAACAGAGAGGUUAAUAGAUUGAGGUUGGCUAAAUAGUAGUAAAAAGUUUUCAAAGGUCUUUUCUUUCAGUCUGAUAUUAUUAGACUGAUGUAGGUCUACAUCAUUGGAAGAUAAGUAAAUUAUAUAAUGUGAUCUUUUACUGAUUGUUUGUCUUAUCUGUUGAAUGAUGUAGCCUGUAUGAUUGUGUGUAAUUGAUAAAUAAAAUUACAGUUAGUCACUCAC